rnacentral:rRNA from 1 species
UUUUCAAUCAUCGUAGCUUGCUACACCGUAUUAGUAAAAUUGAGUGGGCGAACGGGGUGAGUAACACGUGGGUAACCUCGACCCAAAAGGAGGGGGAUAACACUUAGGAAACAGGUGCUAAUACCGCAUAACCAUGAUGACCGCAUGGUCAUUAUAGUAAAAGAUGGUUUCGGCUAUCACUUUUGGAUGGACCCGCGGCGUAUUAACUUGUUGGUGGGGUAACGGCCUACCAAGGUAAUGAUACGUAGCCGAACUGAGAGGUUGAUCGGCCACAUUGGGACUGAGACACGGCCCAAACUCCUACGGGAGGCAGCAGUAGGGAAUCUUCCACAAUGGGCGCAAGCCUGAUGGAGCAACGCCGCGUGAGUGAAGAAGGUCUUCGGAUCGUAAAACUCUGUUGUUAGAGAAGAACAUGCAGGAGAGUAACUGUUCUUGUAUUGACGGUAUCUAACCAGAAAGCCACGGCUAACUACGUGCC